UACGAAGGGGGCUAGCGUUGUUCGGAAUCACUGGGCGUAAAGCGCACGUAGGCGGAUCUUUAAGUCAGAGGUGAAAUCCCAAGGCUCAACCUUGGAACUGCCUUUGAUACUGGGGAUCUUGAGUCCGGGAGAGGUGAGUGGAACUGCGAGUGUGGAGGUGAAAUUCGUAGAUAUUCGCAAGAACACCUGGGGCGAAAGCGGCUCACUGGACCAUAACUGACGCUGAUGCACGAAAGCUAGGGGAGCAAACAGG
rnacentral:rRNA from 1 species